rnacentral:rRNA from 1 species
AGAGUUUGAUCCUGGCUCAGGACGAACGCUGGCGGCGUGCCUAAUACAUGCAAGUAGAACGCUGAAGACUUUAGCUUGCUAAAGUUGGAAGAGUUGCGAACGGGUGAGUAACGCGUAGGGAACCUGCCUACUAGCGGGGGAUAACUAUUGGAAACGAUAGCUAAUACCGCAUAACAGCAUUUAACACAUGUUAGAUGCUUGAAAGGAGCAAUUGCUUCACUAGUAGAUGGACCUGCGUUGUAUUAGCUAGUUGGUGAGGUAACGGCUCACCAAGGCGACGAUACAUAGCCGACCUGAGAGGGUGAUCGGCCACACUGGGACUGAGACACGGCCCAGACUCUACGGGAGGCAGCAGUAGGGAAUCUUCGGCAAUGGGGGCAACCCUGACCGAGCAAACGCCGCGUGAGUGAAGAAGGUUUUCGGAUCGUAAAGCUCUGUUGUAAGAGAAGAACGUGUGUGAGAGUGGAAAGUUCACACAGUGACGGUAACUUACCAGAAAGGGACGGCUAAUACGUGCCAGCACCGCGGUAAU